rnacentral:rRNA from 1 species
GGUGUGGGGGACAUUCCACGUUUUCCGCGCCGUAGCUAACGCAUUAAGUGCCCCGCCNGUGNNAGUACGGCCGCAAGGCUAAAACUCAAAGGAAUUGACGGGGGCCCGCACAAGCGGCGGAGCAUGCGGAUUAAUUCGAUGCAACGCGAAGAACCUUACCAAGGCUUGACAUGAACCGGAAAGACCUGGAAACAGGUGCCCCGCUUGCGGUCGGUUUACAGGUGGUGCAUGGUUGUCGUCAGCUCGUGUCGUGAGAUGUUGGGUUAAGUCCCGCAACGAGCGCAACCCUCGUUCUAUGUUGCCAGCACGUGAUGGUGGGGACUCAUAGGAGACUGCCGGGGUCAACUCGGA